rnacentral:rRNA from 1 species
GAUGAACGCUGGCGGCGUGCCUAAUACAUGCAAGUCGAGCGAACAGACGAGGAGCUUGCUCCUCUGACGUUAGCGGCGGACGGGUGAGUAACACGUGGAUAACCUACCUAUAAGAGUGGGAUAACUUCGGGAAACCGGAGCUAAUACCGGAGAAUAUAUUGAACCGCAUGGUUCAAUAGUGAAAGACGGUGUUGCGGUCACUUAUAGAGGGAUCCGCGCUGUAUUAGCUGGUUGGUAAGGUAACGGCUUAGCAAGGCAACGAGGCGUAGGCGAGCGGUGGGGGUGAUCGGCCACCUGGGAGCUUGGCCGCGCUCCAUGCUCCUGCGGGACGCCCCAGUCGGCAAUCUGCCGCAGUGGUCGAAAGCCUUACGGAGCGACCCCACGUCUGUGAUGACGGCCCUCCGUGCGUGAUGCUCUGUUUCUGGGGAUGAACCGCUUUGUAAUUAACUGUGCACGUAUUGACGGUACCUGAUCAGAAAGCCCCGGCUAACUACGUG